GACGAACGCUGGCGGCGUGCUUAACACAUGCAAGUCGAACGGAAAGGCCCUGCUUUUGUGGGGUGCUCGAGUGGCGAACGGGUGAGUAACACGUGAGUAACCUGCCCUUGACUUUGGGAUAACUUCAGGAAACUGGGGCUAAUAUCGGAUAGGAGCUCCUGCUGCAUGGUGGGGGUUGGAAAGUUUCGGCGGUUGGGGAUGGAAUCGCGGCUUAUCCGCUUGUUGGUGGGGUAGUGGCUUACCAAGGCUUUGACGGGUAGCCGGCCUGAGAGGGUGACCGGCCACAUUGGGACUGAGGUACGGCCGAGACUCCUACGGGAGGCAGCAGUGCGGAAGAUUGCACAAUGGGCGGAAGCCUGAUGAAGCAACGCCGCGUGCGGGAUGACGGCCUUCGGGUUGUAAACCGCUUUCGCCUGUGACGAAGCGUGAGUGACGGUAAUGGGUAAAGAAGCACCGGCUAACUACGUG
rnacentral:rRNA from 1 species